rfam:Cicer arietinum chromosome Ca7, whole genome shotgun sequence.
UGGCCAAUGAUGAUAUCUAUGAAACAAACCAUCUUUCGGGACUGAAUGGCUCUGAUGCCUUGAUGUUAUUCUGCAAUUCUGAGGCCG